AACAUCGCGCACCUGCGGGAACCUGCGGAGGGAUCAUUACAGAGUUCGUGCCCUCGCGGGUAGAUCUCCCACCCUUGUGUAUUCUCUACAUCUUGUUGCUUUGGCAGGCCGUUGGUUCGCCAACCACCGGCUCGCGGGCUGGUGCGUGCCUGCCAGAGGACCUCUCAAACUCGGUUUGUUAGUGUCGUCUGAGUACCAUAACAAUCGUUAAAACUUUUAACAAUGGAUCUCAGAUCGGAA
rnacentral:misc_RNA from 1 species